rnacentral:rRNA from 1 species
UAACCUACGGGAGGCAGCAGUAGGGAAUCUUCCACAAUGGACGAAAGUCUGAUGGAGCAACGCCGCGUGAGUGAAGAGGUAUUUCGGUAUGUAAAGCUCUAUCAGCAGGGAAGAAAAUGACGGUACCUGACUAAGAAGCCCCGGCUAACUACGUGCCAGCAGCCGCGGUAAUACGUAGGGGGCAAGCGUUAUCCGGAUUUACUGGGUGUAAAGGGAGCGUAGACGGCAGAGCAAGUCUGAAGUGAAAGCCCGCGGCCCAACUGCGGGACUGCUUUGGAAACUGCCCGGCUAGAGUGCUGGAGAGG